ensembl:lncRNA
GCCGGGUUUUAGCUACCGUUUAACUUUCCAGGAAGCUGCUCUCAGAAGAUCUGAGCACACAUCCACCUUGAUAAGUACUACAGAGCGUAAAGACCCGGGGCGGACCCCGACAGAAGCCCCAAGACACUGGAGCCUCACCGCCCCUCUAGUGGUAACUGCCCAGGUCAUGCCUGUCCACCUGAUGGAGCCGAGAGCGGACUGAGUUUCCCUACCUGGACGGACCUUGGCCCCAGGACCCGGUCUAGAGAAGACCACGGGACUACACGGAAGGACCACCUCACCUGGAUACCGGGACAGCGCGUGAGAUCCGACCACAGCAUCCCCAGUGGCUCACGGAGCCCAGACUCUCUUUAGUUAUAGUUUGCAUUGACGGCGCUCAUCUCACUCCGUGACAAGAGGCUGCACCACUGAACUACAGGGCCCGACAUAUGGUCAUUUGUAAGGUUCCCAUAAACACUGACCUGAAGCCAGGCGUCUCCCUGAAGGGGCGGUGGGGACUAUUGAGCUUGUGAAGAGGGGGGAGCAGGAGUCACCUCAGAGCAGACUUCAGAAAUAAUGAGCGGAGAGAGGCGAGGUUCACUGAAGAGAGGGAGAAUCAAAAGCUGUGUGCAUUGAAACGCCUCCGGGGGCUGGGAGUGCGGGAGUGUGUUUGUACCAUGUUGCGAAGUGUGUGUGUGUAGUGAGUGAGAGCAUCCUUACCAACGGUUGGGAUUUAUACACGUCUGUUUUCAACAGAACUAUGCUCUGCUACGUUGACAUAUCUGCAGUCGUUUUGACGUCCCGUUUUCAAACAGAUACCCAUCAGAAAUUCUAUGGUUUUCUUUAAUGCUUGAUUUAUCAUUUAAAGUAGCACACCACCUUGAUACUGUGAAAAAGGACAGCACAAUUUUAAAAAUAAUUUUUAUUAACUUUUGUUUUAACCCGACAUUAACAUCGACAACCUUCCAAAGUAAUGUUUUCAUAUAUUUUUUGUAUAAGUCACAGCAAUAAAUACACAUAUCAUUCUUUUUUUGUAGAAUUUUUUUCGAUGUGUUUUGUAUUAUUUAAUAUAAAAGAACUGAACAAAAAAGUGAAGACUGCAGCUUAUCAGUGAUAAAUCUUUCUCCUGAGCAUCUCCACACUUACAUAAUGAGCAGCGUCAAACUAUGUAUCAUAAUAAUAAUUAUCACCAUCUUUAACAUUCCUGUUCUCAUUUAAGCAGCCGUAUCCAAAUUAAACACUUUAAGAGCUCAAGAUGGUGUUUCGCCUCUGAAACGUAUCAACUUACUUUUUUUUUCAGAACAAUUAGCUGUAACAAUCGACCAUUUAAAAAACAAAAUAAACCAAAGCAAGAAAAAUAAACACUUAAACACACAAAAAAGUAUCUCAUGCACAUUUUUUUUACAUCAUUCAAAUACAGAAGCACAACAGGCCCGGGGCAGAGGGCUG